rnacentral:rRNA from 1 species
UCCCUACGGGAGGCAGCAGUGAGGAAUAUUGGUCAAUGGGCUAAGGCCUGAACCAGCCAAGUCGCGUGAGGGAAGACGGUCCUAUGGAUUGUAAACCUCUUUUGUCGGGGAGCAACGAGGCCACGUGUGGCCGAAGUGAGAGUACCCGAAGAAAAAGCAUCGGCUAACUCCGUGCCAGCAGCCGCGGUAAUACGGAGGAUGCGAGCGUUAUCCGGAUUUAUUGGGUUUAAAGGGUGCGUAGGCGGAUUGAUAAGUUAGAGGUGAAAUGU